CCUACGGGAGGCAGCAGUAGGGAAUAUUGCUCAAUGGGGGAAACCCUGAAGCAGCAACGCCGCGUGGAGGAUGAAGGUUUUAGGAUUGUAAACUCCUUUUGUUAGAGAAGUUUAUGACGGUAUCUAACGAAUAAGCACUGGCUAACUCCGUGCCAGCAGCCGCGGUAAUACGGAGGGUGCCAGCGUUACUCGGAAUCACUGGGCGUAAAGAGUGCGUAGGCGGGGUAAUAAGUCAGAUGUGAAAUCCUGUGGCUUAACUGCAGAACUGCAGUUGAAACUGUUACUCUGGAGUGUGGGAGAGGUAGGUGGAAUUCUUGGUGUAGGGGUAAAAUCCGUAGAUAUCAAGAGGAAUACUCAUUGCGAAGGCGACCUGCUGGAACAUUACUGACGCUGAUGCACGAAAGCGUGGGGAGCAAACAGGAUUAGAUACCCCAGUAGUC
rnacentral:rRNA from 1 species